rnacentral:rRNA from 1 species
GCGGGGCGGCGGGCUAUACAUGCAGUCGAGCGCGGGAGCAAGCAGAUCUCCUUCGGGAGUGACGCUUGUGGAACGAGCGGCGGACGGGUGAGUAACACGUGGGCAACCUACCUGUAAGACUGGGAUAACUCCGGGAAACCGGGGCUAAUACCGGAUGAAACAAAGCGUCGCAUGACGCAAUGUUAAAAGGCGGCAUAUGCUGUCACUUACAGAUGGGCCCGCGGCGCAUUAGCUAGUUGGUGAGGUAAAGGCUCACCAAGGCAACGAUGCGUAGCCGACCUGAGAGGGUGAUCGGCCACACUGGGACUGAGACACGGCCCAGACUCCUACGGGAGGCAGCAGUAGGGAAUCUUCCGCAAUGGACGAAAGUCUGACGGAGCAACGCCGCGUGAGUGAUGAAGGUUUUCGGAUCGUAAAACUCUGUUGUUAGGGAAGAACAAGUGCCAUUCAAAUAGGUUGGCACCUUGACGGUACCUAACCAGAAAGCCCCGGCUAACUACGUGCCAGCAGCCGCGGUAAUACGUAGGGGGCAAGCGUUGUCCGGAAUUAUUGGGCGUAAAGCGCGCGCAGGCGGUCCUUUAAGUCUGAUGUGAAAGCCCACGGCUUAACCGUGGAGGGCCAUUGGAAACUGGAGGACUUGAGUACAGAAGAGGAGAGUGGAAUUCCACGUGUAGCGGUGAAAUGCGUAGAGAUGUGGAGGAACACCAGUGGCGAAGGCGACUCUCUGGUCUGUAACUGACGCUGAGGUGCGAAAGCGUGGGUAGCGAACAGGAUUAGAUACCCUGGUAGUCCACGCCGUAAACGAUGAGUGCUAGGUGUUAGGGGGUUUCCGCCCCUUAGUGCUGAAGUUAACGCAUUAAGCACUCCGCCUGGGGGAGUACGGCCGCAAGGCUGAAACUCAAAAGAAUUGACGGGGACCCGCACAAGCGGUGAAGCAUGUGGUUUAAUUCGAAGCAACGCGAAAGAACCUUACCAGGUCUUGACAUCCUCUGACACCCCUAGAAGAUAGGGGCAUUCCCUUUCGGGGACAGAAGUGACAGGGUGGUGCAAGGGUUGUCGUCCGCUCCGUGUCCUUGAGAAGGUUGGGGUUAAGUUCCCGCAACGAAGGGCAACCCCUUGGAUCUUAAUUUGCCCGCCAUUUAAAUUUGGGGCACUCUUAAGGUGGACGGCGCCGUUGAACAAACCGCGAGGAAAGGUGGGGGAUGAACGACCCAAUCCAUCCAGGCGCCCCUUUAUGAACCCGGGGGAGAAACAACCGUGGUUUACCAAUGGGAAGUGGAACACAAAGGGCGGCCCCAAAACCCCCCCAGGGGCCGAGGAAAUAUCCCUCUCUAAAUACC